rnacentral:piRNA from 1 species
UUUCCUUUGCUUUUUCAAACU